AACGAACGCUGGCGGCAUGCCUAACACAUGCAAGUCGAACGAGACCUUCGGGUCUAGUGGCGCACGGGUGCGUAACGCGUGGGAACCUGCCUUUAGGUUCGGAAUAACUCAGAGAAAUUUGAGCUAAUACCGGAUGAUGUCUUCGGACCAAAGAUUUAUCGCCUUUAGAUGGGCCCGCGUUGGAUUAGCUAGUUGGUGGGGUAAAGGCCUACCAAGGCGACGAUCCAUAGCUGGUCUGAGAGGAUGAUCAGCCACACUGGGACUGAGACACGGCCCAGACUCCUACGGGAGGCAGCGGUGGGGAAUUUUGGAAAAGGGGCGAAAGCCUGACCCAGCAAUGCCGCGUGAGUGAUUAAGGCCUUAGGUUUGUAAAGCUCUUUUACCCGAGAUGAUAAUGACAGGAUCGGGAGAAUAAGCCCCGGCUAACUCCGU
rnacentral:rRNA from 1 species